rnacentral:rRNA from 1 species
GACAGAGGGUGCAAACGUUGUUCGGAAUUACUGGGCGUAAAGCGCGUGUAGGCGGCAGGGCAAGUCGGAUGUGAAAUCCCAUGGCUCAACCAUGGAAGUGCACCCGAAACUGCCCAGCUAGAGUCUCGGAGAGGAAGGUGGAAUGCUUGGUGUAGAGGUGAAAUUCGUAGAUAUCAAGCGGAACACCUGAGGCGAAGGCGGGCUACUGGGCUGAUACUGACGCUGAGGCGCGAAAGCCAGGGGAGCAAACGGG